UACGUAGGCAGCGAGCGUUGUUUGGAGUUACUGGGCGUAAAGGGUGUGUAGGCGGUUCUUUAAGUUUGGUGUGAAAUCUCCCGGCUCAACCGGGAGGGUGCGCCGAAUACUGAGGGACUAGAGUAUGGGAUGGGAAAGUGGAAUUCCUGGUGUAGCGGUGAAAUGCGUAGAUAUCAGGAGGAACACCUGUGGUGUAGACGGCUUUCUGGACCAUAACUGACGCUGAGACACGAAAGCGUGGGUAGCAAACAGG
rnacentral:rRNA from 1 species